GCAGGCUUCGUAUAGUGGUUAUUACACUUCGUUGUGGUCAUCAGAGGCUCCGAAGAAACGGAUGUUCGAUUCCUCCAGCUUGCA